UGGCACAGAUACUGGGAAAAGCAUUCCUUGCCACCACCAAAAACAUGCUCCUGUUCUCAUUCCUCCCAUCCUUACACCAGCACAAAUGACUGGGUGUGCUUAUACAGUGUGCAGCAAGAGAGCCGCACAGAUAAAAAUGGAAAGAAGGAGAGGAGGCAAAGGAAUAAUUUUCUGUCAGAUCAGAUCCUGCAUCCAGUUCACUACUUUGACACAUGAACAGAUUUUGGACACAUCUGAGCCUCGAGAGCAGGGAGCAUACAGACUGGCCAAAACACAACUCUGAAUUUGGCAGAAAUUCCCUAAGGAAAGAAUUCAUCCAGAUUUUUCUCCAAAUGCAGCAGAGCAUGUGGGGAUACUCUGAAAGAAUAUGGAGAGGGAUUUCACAUGGAAGGAACUAUGAAAAAAUGCAUACCAACUGAAAAAUUCCCAAGUAGUAAGUCACACAUGUGAUGACUCAGCUGGCCUAGGGAGCUGAAGCACUCAAAGCAUCUCUGUUUCAGGUAGACACUUGGACACAUGUCAGAUGUCCUUUCCACAACGGCAAGAGAGCAAGGAGCUUGUGAAGAGCUCACUAUCCAUUCUCACUAGGACAAACACAACAAAAUAGUAGAUUUUCUGAGACCAAGAAUAGAAAAUGAAGGCCCUUCCUUUCCUCUUUUCCUAUACUUACAUUUCUACCUACCCAAUGGAAUAUCUAACAUAACCAUGCUCAGUCUUCCAGAAACCUGAAUUUACAAUGUGGAGUUCAGCUACCUGAAAGCCCAGCAUCUAAACUUCCUUCUGGAAAUAAAAAUAAACCCCCAUAGUCCCCUAUCA
rnacentral:lncRNA from 1 species